rnacentral:rRNA from 1 species
GACGAACGCUGGCGGCGUGCUUAACACAUGCAAGUCGAACGGUGAAGCAGAGCUUGCUCUGUGGAUCAGUGGCGAACGGGUGAGUAACACGUGAGUAACCUGCCCUUGACUCUGGGAUAAGCGUUGGAAACGACGUCUAAUACCGGAUACGACCCUCAACCGCAUGGUUAGGGGGUGGAAAGAUUUUUUGGUCAAGGAUGGACUCGCGGCCUAUCAGCUUGUUGGUGAGGUAAUGGCUCACCAAGGCGACGACGGGUAGCCGGCCUGAGAGGGUGACCGGCCACACUGGGACUGAGACACGGCCCAGACUCCUACGGGAGGCAGCAGUGGGGAAUAUUGCACAAUGGGCGCAAGCCUGAUGCAGCAACGCCGCGUGAGGGAUGACGGCCUUCGGGUUGUAAACCUCUUUUAGUAGGGAAGAAGCGAAAGUGACG